GUGCAGCACAUCAGCACACGUACUAAAAUUGGAAUGAUACAAAGAAGAUUAGCAUGACCUCGGCGCAAGGAUGACAUGCAAAUUUGUGAAACAUUCCACAUAUUU